GCAAAGUACCAUGCGCCGUCUUGACAUUGAGUUUCUCCUCUCAUACAGCAAGCUCAAACUGACCAGCCCUGAAGCUUAGGCUGGUUUUU
rnacentral:ncRNA from 17 species